UACGAAGGGGGCUAGCGUUGCUCGGAAUUACUGGGCGUAAAGGGAGCGUAGGCGGAUAGUUUAGUCAGAGGUGAAAGCCCAGGGCUCAACCUUGGAAUUGCCUUUGAUACUGGCUAUCUUGAGUACGGAAGAGGUAUGUGGAACUCCGAGUGUAGAGGUGAAAUUCGUAGAUAUUCGGAAGAACACCAGUGGCGAAGGCGACAUACUGGUCCGUUACUGACGCUGAGGCACGAAAGCGUGGGGAGCCAAACAGG
rnacentral:rRNA from 1 species